CGCCCGUACUAUUUGAUCAAUUCUAAAUCCUAGACCUUCUUGUGCAUUAUCAUUUGAAAUAUGGUUCUUCAUCAUAACAGCUAUAUCUGUUGGUGAAGCUCCGGCAAGCUCAAACUUCUCAACUGCAAUUUCCAAACAAUCUUGCCAGACUGGCAGCCCUAGUUUGAAUUCCAUAAUUGAUCGCUCAUAGAGUAUGGUUC
rnacentral:misc_RNA from 1 species